CAACAGUGUAUGCUAAAGUUGUUGCGGUUGAAAGCUCGUAGUUGGAUUUUGGGCGGGCGCAACCGGUCCGUCGCAGGGCGUGUCACUGGUUGCGUUCGCCUCACCUUCGGUUCUCCGUCGGUGCUCUUGACUGAGUGUCGGCGGUGGCCGAUAAGUUUACUUUGAAAAAUUAGAGUGUUCAAAGCAGGCUGCUCGCCUGCAUAGUGUUGCAUGGAAUAAUGGAAUAGGACCUCGGUUCUAUUUUGUUGGUUUUCGGAGCGCGAGGUAAUGAUUAAGAGGGACAGACGGGGGCGGUCCGUACUCUGCCGUUCAGUAGGGUGAAAAUUGCUUAUGGUAGUUCCGGGCCGGGAAAGACGAAACUACUGCGAAAGCAUUCGCCAAGAAUGUUUUCUUUAAUCAAGAGCGAAAGUCAGAGGUUUGAAGACGAUCAGAU
rnacentral:rRNA from 1 species